ensembl:lncRNA
GUGUGGGACAAGGGCAUGCUGUCCUGCUGCUGCUCCCCCAGCGCCAGGAGAGGCGAGGAGCAGCAUCACCAGAGUCAGGUGCUGAGGGACAGACACGUGGGCCACGGUGCUCCUGCUCCAGCUGCAACCGCUGCAGCAAAGCUGAGCAGGAGCUGCAGCAGCUGGUGUUGCCGGCUCUCCCAGAGCACGUGGCCACUCUGGGCCCUGAGUUCUGGGAUGCGGCCUGGCGGGACCUGGAAAAGCUGGUGGAGCAAGGAAGCCUAUCCUGCUGCAGCUCCCCCAGCUCCUCCACACAGCUGGGGACAGUUGUACGUGAGAGCAUCAUGCAGACAGGUGCCGCUGUACGUUGGUGGGAGCAGAAGGAACAGCAGCCUGUUGGAUUGUCCAAGCGUCCACAAGAAGUACCCCACAUGCAAAAGACAGUAAGACCAGCAGCAGCAGCACCUUCACGCCUGGCUACGGAAGAUGACUGCUGCAGUGCAGCCAGCCAGCGUCUGAGCUGUGCCGUCUGUGGCAGGAGACGUGCAGAGCAGGCAGGCAGGCAGAGCGUGAAUGGCUGGCACUCGUGGCAGCGGGUGGCCCCCACAGCCCACCGGCCAAAUUGUCAGGGCUCCAAGCCAGGCAGGGGAGCCGCAGAGCAGCCCCCGCAGACCUGCACCUGCACCUGCAUGCGUCCACCUGCGCAUGAGGGACUUCAUCAACCAAAGCAGGGACAACGUUGCUGGGACAACAAGGCCCAGGAGCCUUCUGCAUUGCCUGUGUCCUGCCGAAUGCAUUGUGAGUGCUGUAAGACAGCGGGAUCCAAGAGGGAUGCACAGAAGCCAGAGCAGCACAGCAUAAGAAAUACGAACCGGCACGUGCAGUCGCCCCCCAGGCAUGCUGAGGAAGAGAUGUGGGGCUCCAAAGCAGACAGAGGUGCCCAAAGGCAGCCUCACGGGAUCUGCUCCUGCUUGCUGCCACCAGCGCGUGGGACAACGGUGCGUAGCAUUGCCUAUGGCUCCAUUGAGUGGCUAUGUUGGCGGUAGGAGGUGGCCCCGCAGGUUCCCGCAUGGCUCUUGGCCACCCCGGCACGUCCCAAGUCCCAGCCUGAAUACAGGGCAGCAGCACAGGCAGCACAAACAGCUUCAGUGCUGCCCGUGGAGGACAACGGCUGCCACGCCAACGUCACCGCUGUGGGAAGUGCAGAGAGCCAACCCGGCCCGAUGCCACCUCCUUCCGCGAGCGCACAUCGAGGAAGCAGAGGGGCCGUGGGUGCCCACGGCUUUUGUCAUCAGCAUCCACUUGGCUGUGGGAGGGCCCAGCGUGGAAGGACGUAACGGAGCACCGGGGAACAGCCAGCUCGCAGCUACAGUCCCAUUAAAUCCUCUUUCUAUC